ACUCCUGAGAAUGCGCUGAAUCUUAGUUAAUGAAAGAAUCAUGAAGAUUUUUCACUACUCAUCGUUUACACUGAAUAUAGGAUUGUACCAACAACACGUCAGGAAAAGUCUGUUCUGCAGAGUGUCCACCACCUGCCUGCGGAGUUCUCAGAUCCCUUCAGCGGACACUGAACUCAUCCCUUUGCGUCCCAUUCUCGCACUUCCUCCUCAGCCGCGGACUCUCUCACAGGAUAUUCUCAGUUUUAGCCGCUCUCCACACCAGGCCAGCCUGAACUACAUGAGACUGUGGAGACCAAAGAGGAGCACCCGCCUCUCCGCUUUCCUCAGGGAUGGAGGCCGCCGCCCACCUGCCCCCUCGGACUGGGUCAACUCAGCUCGGCCUCCAGUCUGGCAUCCAGCUGCCACUGUCCUUCACAUCACACCAACGUGGGUGCAGCUCACCUUCACCUCCCUUCGGCGUGAAGAAGGGAGGAGCCACCUGGGUGUGGUUAAGACCGGGGAUAAGGGUGUGAUUAUCUGA
rnacentral:lncRNA from 1 species